rnacentral:lncRNA from 1 species
CAGGAAACCAUGGUUUCAUGAGCCAGACUUUACAACUGCAGGCAGCUGCCAAGGCCAGAGCUCACGGUGAGUGGCAGACAGAAGAAUACCAGCCCUUCAUCUCAUAGUGCUCCGCCAGGCUCAUUUUCCAUCCAUCAGCAUAAGACUUCAAGAUGCUCCAUUUGCUCUGGAUUGAAAAGCUGAUAAAUGUUAUUUUGUAAUCAAAAUGUGGUCUGAGGACCAGCUGCAUUGGCACCUCCCAGGAGCCUGAUACAAUUUCAGAAUCUCAGUGGCAACCCGCUGGGGUCCCCUUCCACGCUGUGGAAGCUUUGUUCUUUUGCUCUUUGCAAUAAAUCUUGCUACUGCUCACUCUUUGGGUCCACACUGCUUUUAUGAGCUGUAACACUCACCACAAAGGUCUGCAGCUUCACUCCUGAAGC